rnacentral:misc_RNA from 1 species
UGGAGCUUCUGUGUUCCACUGUGCAUGCUAAUUAUGGCAUCCAAGUUCCCUCAGCCUUGUAAAGAAAAAUGUUCUUUAUAUCUUUAUAGAUUCCCAAACACUCUUCCGGAAGAAAGCAGGAAGAGAUUCUGGGAGACGUCUGUCUUUCCCAAGACGGGUAAUGAAAAGCCGCGCUGUAACUUAUUAGUCAAUUUAUUUACAUGAUAUAACCUUUUCAAUUUUUUUUAUUUUUUUACAAAAGGCUGAAUAUUUGAAUUAGGACUUUGAGUUCCUGGUGGUUUUGAGUGAGGGAGGCCAUCUUUAAAUUACAUGCCAGAAUUUAGGGGACCUGGCGCAAUGUACUUCUAAAAUUUAGAACAUUCAAGUAUUAUGAAAGAGAAAUGGAUAAUUUAGAAAUUUGAUUCGCUUUUUGAUGGGAUAGUUUUGAAUUCUUGAUUUGGUCUUUGUA